rnacentral:rRNA from 1 species
AGAACGAACGCUGGCGGCAGGCCUAAUACAUGCAAGUCGAACGCACUCUUCGGAGUGAGUGGCAGACGGGUGAGUAACGCGUGGGAACCUUCCCAAUGGUACGGAAUAACUCCGGGAAACCGGUGCUAAUACCGUAUAAGCCCCUCGGGGGAAAGAUUUAUCGCCAUUGGAUGGGCCCGCGUCGGAUUAGCUAGUUGGUAAGGUAAUGGCUUACCAAGGCUACGAUCCGUAGCUGGUCUGAGAGGAUGAUCAGCCACACUGGGACUGAGACACGGCCCAGACUCCUACGGGAGGCAGCAGUGGGGAAUAUUGGACAAUGGGCGAAAGCCUGAUCCAGCCAUGCCGCGUGAGUGAUGAAGGCCCUAGGGUUGUAAAGCUCUUUCAACGGUGAAGAUAAUGACGGUAACCGUAGAAGAAGCCCCGGCUAACUUCGUGCCAGCAGCCGC